CGGAGGGCGGGGCCGCUGUCGGCCGCUCCCUCUCGGAGCCUGCGCGCCCCGCGGCCCCGCCGGCUCGCCCCGUGGAAGCACGCGCGCACGGAACUCUUCCAAACAAAGUCGCGACGCUGCGCCCGCUCUGCCGGCGGGGAGGGCCGGAGCUGCGCUGCGUCACGUGCACCUCGGGGGCGGGGAGAGCCCCAGCGCGACGCGCGCGCGCCCGGCGUCAACAACUGCGCUUCGCGCCGCCGCCGUCUCGCGCCGUGAGAGAAGUAAACGGAGCUGCGGCGGGAGGGAGGUGUUUAGCAGCGCCGCGCAUGCGCCUCCGGGGUCGGGGGCGGUGCGCGCGGCGGCGCGGCGCGGGAAGCGGUUUGUAAUCCUUAAAGCGGCCGCGCGGCUGGAGCGGGGAGCGGCGCGGGCUGAGCAUGUUGAAGCUCUGAGCUGUAAGGAGGGAGGCUCCAGGAGCACUCAGGAAUUCAUGUCCCUGCAGAGUCUGAGUAACAGAUAUCCCUAUGCUGGACCAUUUUAUUUUUUCCAAGCUCAGAAUUACCAGGUUUUUAGAAGCUAAAAGCAAGGAGAACUUCUUAAAUUCACAGUCCCCAACGGAUGUUGGAGGCAACCAAUGUUGUAAGACCUGAAGUCUCCAAACCCCUACUCCAUUGCCAGCUAAUUCUGGAAUACCACAGCAGAUCCUAAUACUCUCACUGCUGAAAGCCUGCAGAGCCAUUUCUGCCCACAG
rnacentral:lncRNA from 1 species